UACAGAGGUCUCAAGCGUUGUUCGGAUUCAUUGGGCGUAAAGGGUUCGUAGGCGGCGCGGUAAGUCGGGUGUGAAAUCUCGGAGCUUAACUGCGAAACUGCAUUCGAUACUGCCGUGCUUGAGGACUGGAGAGGAGACUGGAAUUUACGGUGUAGCGGUGAAAUGCGUAGAUAUCGUAAGGAAGACCAGUGGCGAAGGCGGGUCUCUGGACAGUUACUGACGCUGAGGCACGAAGGUGAGGGGAGCAAACGGG
rnacentral:rRNA from 1 species